GAUGAACGCUGGCGGCGUGCUUAACACAUGCAAGUCGAACGGUGAAGCAGAGCUUGCUCUGUGGAUCAGUGGCGAACGGGUGAGUAACACGUGAGCAACCUGCCCCUGACUCUGGGAUAAGCGCUGGAAACGGCGUCUAAUACUGGAUAUGAGCUGCGACCGCAUGGUCAGCAGUUGGAAAGAUUUUUCGGUCUGGGAUGGGCUCACGGCCUAUCGGCUUGUUGGUGAGGUAAUGGCUCACCAAGGCGUCGACGGGUAGCCGGCCUGAGAGGGUGACCGGCCACACUGGGACUGAGACACGGCCCAGACUCCUACGGGAGGCAGCAGUGGGGAAUAUUGCACAAUGGGCGAAAGCCUGAUGCAGCAACGCCGCGUGAGGGAUGACGGCCUUCGGGUUGUAAACCUCUUUUAGCAGGGAAGAAGCGAAAGUGACGGUACCUGCAGAAAAAGCGCCGGCUAACUACGUG
rnacentral:rRNA from 1 species